rnacentral:lncRNA from 1 species
AAGAGAGAAAAUGAUGAGGAAUUUGGUUGUUCAAUUAAUCAAUUUGUAUCAUAUAGGAAUAAAUCGUCAAUAAUUAUCUUAUAUGGUACUUUAUUCAUCAAAAUAGGUUGUAUAUUAUGUACCGUAGUAAAUUCAAAAUUUGGACUGUGUGAAUAUUUGAAGUUAAGAGUGUCUGUUCAAAGACAUAUUUUUAACUUAAUUAUUUUAACUUUUUUCUAAUAAAACCCACAUAAACUUCUAUAUGCACUACUAAUUGAUAGGGUGAUCAUACAAGUUGCAAUCUUGAAAUUUCAAUAAAGUCAAACUUCAAACCAUUUCAUAUUUGGUAGAACAUUGCCCCACUUACGAAUGUACAUUUAGUUGUGAUUAACCCACAUUUCACCUAUUUUGAUUGGAGGAUUUAAGUGAUAAGAACGGACCUUGGGCAUAACUCAACCCCAAAAGCUAGUUUAUGUGAGGAUUGCCUAAGUCAUAUAAGGAGACCAAUGACCUCAAAUCCCUCCGAUGUGGGACAACUCAACACCCCCCUCACGCCCAGAUCUCUGGAGUAUGGACAACAUAAAUGGGGGCACAACAUCGGUAACAAUAAUUGGGAUGAGCCUGGCUCUGAUACCAUGAUAAGAAUGGACCUUGGGCCUAACUCAACCCCAAAAGCUAGCUUAUGAGGUGAGGAUUGCUCAAGCCAUAUAAGGAGACCAAUGACCUGAUAAGAAUGGACCUUGUGCCUAACUCAACCCCAAAAACUAGUUUAUGAGGUGGGAAUUAUCCAAGCAAUAUAAGGAGACUAAAUGCCUCAAAUCCCUCCGACGUGGGACAACUCAACAAAAUGGUCUAUAGG